UCUUCAUUAGUCUAGUAGUUAAGAUACCUGCUUGUCAUCCAACAAACUACUGUUCACGAUAGUGAAAUCUAGUAGUUAGAAGCCAAGCCGCAGGUGGCCGGGGUUCGAUUCCCCGAUCGAGAG